UACAGAGGUCCCAAGCGUUGUUCGGAUUCACUGGGCGUAAAGGGUGCGUAGGCGGUUUGUCGCGUCUGCUGUGAAAACUCGGGGCUUAACCCCGGGCCUGCAGUGGGUACGGGCAGACUAGAGUGCGGUAGGGGAGACUGGAAUUCCUGGUGUAGCGGUGAAAUGCGCAGAUAUCAGGAGGAACACCGGUGGCGAAGGCGGGUCUCUGGGCCGUAACUGACGCUGAGGAGCGAAAGCGUGGGGAGCGAACAGG
rnacentral:rRNA from 1 species